UCCAGGGAUGGUGGCACACACCUAUAGUCCCAGCUACUUGGGGAGGCUGAGGCCAAAGGAUAUUCUAAGUUCAAGAGUUCUGGGCUUUAGUGCACUAUGGCAGUAGAUGAGGUGUUUGCACCAAGUUUGCCAUCAAUAUGGUGACUUCCCAGGAGCAGGGGGACCACCAGGUUGCCUAAGGAAGGGUGAACUGGCCCAGUUCAGGAACAGAGCAGGUCAAAACUCCCAUGCUGAUUAGUAGUGGGAUAACGCCUGUGAAUAGCCACUGUACUCCAGCCUGGGCAGUAUAGCAAGAGCCCAUCUCU
rnacentral:SRP_RNA from 1 species